rnacentral:tRNA from 1 species
GGCGGCCCAGUGGUUAGGUGCUUGGCUGCUAACCAAAAGGUUGGUGGUUUGAACCCACCAGCCA